AUAAAUCAUACUUUUAAUUUUACAUAUAUUAUGUGGUUGAUUACUAUGUGUUGAAUAUGAAUGAGUAAUUGAAUUAUAUGGUGUGAAAUUAGUAUGGAUAUAUUUUAUAUAUUAUGUUGGAAUUAUUUAGUGGAAUAUGAUAUGGAUAUCUGAUGGGUGCAAUGGAUAUGUGAGUGGUGCAGUUGAUAUAUUUUUAUAUGUCAUUAAAAUUAUUUGCAUCAUUGGAUUAAAGAGGAUUUGUGACAGGCUUGUCCUGGGUUCUACGGGUCAUAUUCAAUGAUAACGGACUUAUGGGUCAAAGAAAAUGUGCAAAGAGGGGCCUUCGUGGAAAGGUCAAAAUGCAAAGAGGAGCCUUCGUGGAAAGGAAUAAGAUAUCAGUGAUGUUUCAGUUAAUGUGAGUUAUACAAACUCCACGUGUUAUCAGGAUCGGCGGCUGGCGCAUUUUGACAACCUUCUCCUCCUCAUCAUUUUUGCAUGUAGAUAAAUGUAUAGUAUAUAGAGUGUAAGUGCAUACGUCAUAAAGGUUAAGGUGUGGCAUCCACAAUAGCAACGCCGUGGCGGUCUAUUGUUGGACAAGGAUGAGCCGCGGCGGGGAGGGCUGGACGGGAGAGAGCCACAUUUGUGGCGUGGAAGCGGUGGGGGCGGAGGUGGUUGUGGAGCCGCGGCACCUAUUGCACGCCGGAAGGGAGCCGCGGCGGUCCGCCGUGCCGGUUUUUUCAUUUUUUUUUUUAUUUUCUUGAUUUAUUUUGAUGAUGUGACAGAAGAGUUUUUGUGGCUGUGCCUUGGCAGAAUCGUGGUUGUUCCACUCUAUUGUGGACACUCUAAUAUUUAUCCCAUUUCCAUUACCUAUUUA